ensembl:lncRNA
UAUUGAUUUAUUUAGAUUAUAUAGCUCUGUUCAGCAAACAAAAGAUAUUUAUAUAUUUUUUUAAAAUUUUAUUCAGAAUGCAGUAUACAUCUACAGGAUACACUGAGAGCUUUCCAGUGGUUUCUCAGCUGUAGCAGUGCUUUCCCAGAGCAGCUGUCCCUGAGCGGUGGUGAAUGGUGGGCUGUGUGGAGGUUCAGGGGAGAGACUCUCAGUCACACGGGCCGCGGACAGCUGACACACUGAGGAGCCACAUCACACCAACAAAUGGGAUGGUUGUCCAGAAAAGGUUCCCCUCUCCAGCAGAGGGGGUCAGUGAGCCUACCAUGCGUCCUGCACCCGGCUGCUCCCUCGUGAACAAAUACUGGACCACCCUAGUCUCACACUGUGUCUGUAGCAUACAGUGUGUGUUUGUUUUCUGUAUCUGUAGAAUACCAGGAUGACAGACCUGUACCAGAAUGAGCAGUAAACGAGAGAGUACACUGAUGUAUCCCACCAGUAAUGCACUCAGCCUGACCUUAUAUUUCCUGUGAACCAUAAAAAGUGAUUUAAUUUCUCUUUUUCACAGUACAAAACUGUCACUGGGGCAAUGCCCUUUCAAAAGGUACUAAUAUAUAUUUUCAAGGUACUAAAAUGUACCAUUUAUGAGUAAAUAAGAUGUACCUCUGUGCUUUUGUACCCGGUGACAGCUUCACACCUUUUUUUUCUAAGAUUGUUGUCUCAAUAGUUCAUCAAACUGCCAAGGGUUAAGAUAUUUCUUAUUAGACUAGAUAAAAACCGGUUACACUUUAUUUUAAGGUGUCCUUGUUACAGUGUAAUUAUACAUGUAAGUACUGAGUAAUAUUAAUUAACUACAUGUACUUUCUAUAUGGUUAGGGUUAGGAUUUUGGUUUAGGGUUACUUGCAUGUAAUUAUGCAUAAUUAAUUUUUAUUUUGAUAGUAAGUACAUUUAACGUGUAACAAGGACACCUUAAAAUAAAGUGUAUUUAAACAAUAACUGCUUUUAUUUCAGUGAUAACUAAACAGGAACAAUAACUAGACAUAA